rnacentral:rRNA from 1 species
AAUGAACGCUGGCGGCGUGCCUAACACAUGCAAGCCGGAUGUGCCCGCAAGGGUGCAUGGCAGACGGGUGAGUAACGCGUGGGGAAUCUACCUUUUAGUGGGGAAUAACGCUCCGAAAGGAGUGGUAAUACCGCAUGUGACCAUCGGCUGGGAUGCUGAUGGUGAAACCCUGGGACCUUCGGGCCAGGGGCUAGAAGAGGAUCCUGCGUCUGAUUAGCUUGUUGGUGAGGUAACGGCUCACCAAGGCGACGAUCAGUAGCUGGUCUGAGAGGAUGGUCAGCCACACUGGGACUGAGAUACGGCCCAGACUCCUACGGGAGGCAGCAGUCGAGAGGCUUCGGCAAUGGGGGAAACCCUGACCGAGCGACGCCGCGUGAGCGAUGAAGCCCUUCGGGGUGUAAAGCUCUUUUGUCAGGGAGCAAAUCCUAACGGCUAAUAUCCGUUGGGGAUGAGAGUACCUGAAGAAUAAGCACCGGCUAACUACGUG